CCAAAACGAAACUUAGGUGUGAGAGAUGGGUGUGAUACCCCCAUAUGUUAUGGAUAAAGGUAGGUGGUGUAUGAGAUCCCACAUUGCUUGAGAAUGAGAAGUUCUUGCUCUUUAUAAUGUUCCAAUGAGGUUCCAAUUGUAUCAUUGACUAGUCUUUUUGGAGUAUAGGCCAUGUGGUUUGG